GUUUCUAUAGUUGAAUAACAACGAUGAUUUUUCA
rnacentral:tRNA from 1 species